UACGUAGGGCGCAAGCGUUGUCCGGAAUUAUUGGGCGUAAAGAGCUCGUAGGCGGUUUGUCGCGUCUGCUGUGAAAACUCAGGGCUUAACCCUGAGCCUGCAGUGGGUACGGGCAGACUAGAGUGUGGUAGGGGAGAUCGGAAUUCCUGGUGUAGCGGUGGAAUGCGCAGAUAUCAGGAGGAACACCGGUGGCGAAGGCGGGUCUCUGGGCCGAUACUGACGCUGAGGAGCGAAAGCGUGGGGAGCGAACAGG
rnacentral:rRNA from 1 species